CCAUCGUCUAUUACUGCUUUGAACAAUAUAAGAAAGUUGAUCGAUCUGUAAAGACGUGAUAAUUUCCGAGUGCGAGCAACAUACAUAUUGCACACACAUAUAUAUAGUGCUAUCCGGAAAAUAUAUAUAUUUCCACAAAUAUAUGCUGGAAGCAUAUAGUUACAAGUGCCGUACAGUUCAGUGGUCAGUGAAUGACAAGAAUUUAGUGCAGAUAUAUUUGGGAAAAGAGGGAGGUGUACCUAAGCUGCCCCAUCGCGGUAUAGUCUCGAGAAGACUACCCUGGGAGCUGGCUUAGGCGAACAGUUGUCGAGGUUUCUCCAACUCCAACCAUAAUUCAUCGUUUCUGGACCUUAUAUUGCCACC